CGAAGCACAAGGAAACUGCUUUGAAUAAAAAAAUCGAACUUUUGAAAAAUAUUAAUUUUUUGUUGUUUUUUUAACAGGGCAAAUAUGGAUAGACAAUGGACUUAUUUAUACAAUUUACUGCAAACACAUAAUAUAUUAAUGGUUAGAUGUUGCGGAAACUUACAACUUAAGACAUUUCAGCUCUUGCACAUUGACAAAUCGAAGGAGGUCAGCGGUCCGGUAUUGUUCAUUACUCUUUUGCCUAUUAGGGUAUAUUAAGUUUGCCAAGAGGGAAACAUCGGAGACUCUAUAAAAUAAAUGUAAAUCUGAAAACCAGCAUUCAUUAUUGGAUAAUAUUCGACCGCAUAGGCCACGUACAGCACGCAUUGAAGAAGUCCUAAGUGACAUAUUGAGUGAGAUAUUUUAACGGUUUGUACUUUUUCUUGUGGGGAUGUGCAAAGUCUCAAAACAUCAUGCGAGUCAUUCGCUAGUUAGCAGUCGAAAUACUCGAACGAGUCAUCGAUUAACAUCAAUUCAACGGAUCUGAUAAGUGGCCACGGCCAUCAUUUAAAGAGGUAAUCGUAAAAUAUAAAUGCCUAAGAAUGUUCUUUCGAAUGAUAAUAAACAUUCCCCACUAAAUUUGAA